CUCAGUGGCCAUACCUUCCUGACCAUGCCUGACCUCAUCUGAUCUUGAAAGCUAGGCAGGGUCAUGCCUAAGCUGUACUUGGAUGAGAGGUCAACUUAUAAAUUAGGCACUGGUGGAG
ensembl:rRNA 5S_rRNA 5S ribosomal RNA